rnacentral:rRNA from 1 species
GAUGAACGCUGGCGGCGUGCCUAAUACAUGCAAGUCGAGCGAACAGAUGAGGAGCUUGCUCCUCUGACGUUAGCGGCGGACGGGUGAGUAACACGUGGAUAACCUACCUAUAAGACUGGGAUAACUUCGGGAAACCGGAGCUAAUACCGGAUAAUAUAUUGAACCGCAUGGUUCAAUAGUGAAAGACGGUUUUGCUGUCACUUAUAGAUGGAUCCGCGCCGCAUUAGCUAGUUGGUAAGGUAACGGCUUACCAAGGCAACGAUGCGUAGCCGACCUGAGAGGGUGAUCGGCGACACUGGAACUGAGCCACGGUCCAGAGUCCUACGGGAGGCAGCAGUAGGGAAUCUUCCGCAAUGGGCGAAAGCCUGACGGAGCAACGCCGAGUGAGUGAUGAAGGUCUUCGGAUCGUAAAACUCUGUUAUUAGGGAAGAACAACUGUGUAAGUAACUAUGCACGUCUUGACGGUACCUAAUCAGAAAGCCACGGCUAACUACGUG